UACGGAGGGUGCGAGCGUUGUCCGGAAUCACUGGGCGUAAAGGGCGCGUAGGUGGCGGGUCAAGCGUGCGGUGAAAGCUCGGGGCUCAACCCCGAGUCGGCCGUGCGAACUGGCCUGCUGGAGCACUGUAGAGGCAGAUGGAAUUCCGGGUGUAGCGGUGGAAUGCGUAGAGAUCCGGAAGAACACCGGUGGCGAAGGCGGUCUGCUGGGCAGUUGCUGACACUGAGGCGCGACAGCGUGGGGAGCGAACAGG
rnacentral:rRNA from 1 species